rnacentral:tRNA from 1 species
AGUUUAUUUAAAAUAUCAACAUGUGAGGUUGGAGAAGACAAAUCUU